rnacentral:rRNA from 1 species
CGAGUGAAGCGGCAAAAGCUCAAAUUUGAAAUCUGGUACCUUCGGUGCCCGAGUUGUAAUUUGGAGAGGGCAACUUUGGGGCCGUUCCUUGUCUAUGUUCCUUGGAACAGGACGUCAUAGAGGGUGAGAAUCCCGUGUGGCGAGGAGUGCGGUUCUUUGUAAAGUGCCUUCGAAGAGUCGAGUUGUUUGGGAAUGCAGCUCUAAGUGGGUGGUAAAUUCCAUCUAAAGCUAAAUAUUGGCGAGAGACCGAUAGCGAACAAGUACAGUGAUGGAAAGAUGAAAAGAACUUUGAAAAGAGAGUGAAAAAGUACGUGAAAUUGUUGAAAGGGAAGGGCAUUUGAUCAGACAUGGUGUUUUGUGCCCUCUGCUCCUUGUGGGUAGGGGAAUCUCGCAUUUCACUGGGCCAGCAUCAGUUUUGGUGGCAGGAUAAAUCCAUAGGAAUGUAGCUUGCCUCGGUAAGUAUUAUAGCCUGUGGGAAUACUGCCAGCUGGGACUGAGGACUGCGACGUAAGUCAAGGAUGCUGGCAUAAUGGUUAUAUG